CUAACAUGGGCAAAUGAAGCAACUCUAUAGGUUUCACCAAUGAUACCUUGCUACUCUAAAAAACAUAGCAGGGAUAACAGCAGUACUUCAGGUAGUAGGAUUAGCAGCAGUGCCCCGCUAGUAGUAGAAGAACUGGUAGUCAUGGGAGGGAAAUGAGAAAACAGCCCCCUUUUGCACGAAGGAACAUUUUUUUAUACGAUGACUCCUAACCUUAUUGCUCCUAUGCUUUGUGCUGAACGGUC